GGUUCAUUCACUCAGAUGGUAGAGCAACGGAUUUUUAAUCCGUGGGUCCGGAGUUCGAAUCUCCGAUGGGUCA
rnacentral:tRNA from 1 species